rnacentral:rRNA from 1 species
GAUGAACGCUGGCGGCGUGCCUAAUACAUGCAAGUCGAGCGAACAGACGAGGAGCUUGCUCCUCUGACGUUAGCGGCGGACGGGUGAGUAACACGUGGAUAACCUACCUAUAAGACUGGGAUAACUUCGGGAAACCGGAGCUAAUACCGGAUAAUAUAUUGAACCGCAUGGUUCAAUAGUGAAAGACGGUUUUGCUGUCACUUAUAGAUGGAUCCGCGCCGCAUUAGCUAGUUGGUAAGGUAACGGCUUACCAAGGCAACGAUGCGUAGCCGACCUGAGAGGGUGAUCGGCCACACUGGAACUGAGACACGGUCCAGAGUCCUACGGGAGGCAGCAGUAGGGAAUAUUCCGCAAUGGGCGAAAGCAUGACGGAGCAACGCCGCGUGAGUGAUGAAGGUCUUCGGAUCGUAAAACUCUGUUAUUAGGGAAGAAAAAAUGUGUAAGUAACUAUGCACGUCUUGACGGUACCUAAUCAGAAAGCCACGGCUAACUACGUG